GUGUCAGCAGCCGCGGUAAUACGUAGGCAGCGAGCGUUGUUCGGAGUUACUGGGCGUAAAGGGUGUGUAGGCGGUUUGCCAAGUUCGGUGUGAAAUCUCCCGGCUUAACUGGGAGGGUGCGCCGAAUACUGGCAGGCUCGAGUGCGGGAUGGGAGAGCGGAAUUCCUGGUGUAGCGGUGAAAUGCGUAGAGAUCAGGAGGAACACCUGCGGUGUAGACGGCUCUCUGGACCGCCACUGACGCUGAGACACGAAAGCGUGGGUAGCAAACAGGAUUAGAAACCCGCGUAGUCC
rnacentral:rRNA from 1 species